GACGAACGCUGGCGGCGUGCCUAAUACAUGCAAGUAGAACGCAGUUGCGAACGGGUGAGUAACGCGUAGGUAACUGCCUCAUAGCGGGGGUUAACUAUUGGAACCGAUAGUUAAUACCGCUUACUGUGAGAUGGACCUGCGUUGUAUUAGCUAGUUGGUGAGGUAAAGGCUCACCAAGGCGACGAUACAUAGCCGACCUGGGAGGGUGAUCGGCCACACUGGGACUGGGACACGGCCCAAGCUCCUACGGGAGGCAGCAGUAGGGAAACUUCGGGAAAUGACGGAAGUCUGACCGAGCAAAGGCGCGGGAGUGAAGAAGGUUUUCGGAUCGUAAAGCUCUGUUGUUAGAGAAGCGGUAACUAAACAGAAAGGGACGGCUAACUACGUGCCAGCAGCCGCGGUAAUAC
rnacentral:rRNA from 1 species